UCCGGCUUGUCACCGGCAGUUUCUUCAGAGUGCCCGGCACUACCCGCUGGCAACUGAAGAUGGGGGUUGCGCUCGUUGCGGGACUUAACCCAACAUCUCACGACACGAGCUGACGACAGCCAUGCAGCACCUGUGUUCCCGCCAGCCGAACUGAAGAACAGGGUCUCCCCUGCCCAUACGGGACAUGUCAAGAGCUGGUAAGGUUCUUCGCGUUGCGUCGAAUUAAGCCACAUACUCCACCGCUUGUGCAGGCCCCCGUCAAUUUCUUUGAGUUUCAGCCUUGCGACCGUACUCCCCAGGCGGGAUACUUAAUGCGUUAACUUCGCCACAAGGGGCUUCAAUCCCCCCCACAGCAAGUAUCCAUCGUUUAGGGCUAGGACUAC
rnacentral:misc_RNA from 1 species